CCUACGGGGGGCAGCAGUGGGGGAUAUUGCACAAUGGGGGAAACCCUGAUGCAGCGACGCCGCGUGAGUGAAGAAGUAUUUCGGUAUGUAAAGCUCUAUCAGCAGGGAAGAAAAUGACAGUACCUGACCAAGAAGCACCGGCUAACUACGUGCCAGCAGCCGCGGUAAUACGUAGGGGGCAAGCGUUAUCCGGAUUUACUGGGUGUAACGGGAGCGUAGACGGGUAUGUAAGUCUGGAGUGAAAGCCCGGGGCCGAACCCCGGGACUGCUUUGGAAACUGGGUAACUGGAGUACAGGAGGGGCAGGCGGAAAUCCUGGGGUAGCGGUGGAAUGCGGAGAUAUCAGGAGGGAAACCGGCGGCGAAGGCGGCCUGCUGGACUGAAACUGACGUUGAGGCGCGAAAGCGUGGGGAGCAAACAGGAUUAGAUACCCUGGUAGUC
rnacentral:rRNA from 1 species